rnacentral:rRNA from 1 species
UACAGAGGUGGCAAGCGUUGUUCGGAAUUACUGGGCGUAAAGCGCGCGCAGGCGGUCCUUCAAGUCAGAGGUGAAAGCCCAGGGCUCAACCCUGGAACUGCCUUUGAAACUGGAGGACUUGAGUACGGGAGAGGUGAGUGGAAUUCCGAGUGUAGAGGUGAAAUUCGUAGAUAUUCGGAAGAACACCAGUGGCGAAGGCGGCUCACUGGCCCGUUACUGACGCUCAGGCGCGACAGCGUGGGGAGCAAACAGG